CUCGUAGGCGGUUCGUCGCGUCCGGUGUGAAAGUCCAUCGCUUAACGGUGGAUCCGCGCCGGGUACGGGCGGGCUUGAGUGCGGUAGGGGAGACUGGAAUUCCCGGUGUAACGGUGGAAUGUGUAGAUAUCGGGAAGAACACCAAUGGCGAAGGCAGGUCUCUGGGCCGUUACUGACGCUGAGGAACGAAAGCGUGGGGAGCGAACA
rnacentral:rRNA from 1 species